UACGUAGGGUGCGAGCGUUAAUCGGAAUUAUUGGGCGUAAAGCGCGCGCAGGCGGUCCUUUAAGUCUGAUGUGAAAGCCCACGGCUCAACCGUGGAAGGUCAUUGGAAACUGGGGGACUUGAGUACAGAAGAGGAAAGCGGAAUUCCACGUGUAGCGGUGAAAUGCGUAGAGAUGUGGAGGAACACCAGUGGCGAAGGCGGCUUUCUGGUCUGUAACUGACGCUGAGGCGCGAAAGCGUGGGGAGCAAACAGG
rnacentral:rRNA from 1 species